rnacentral:snoRNA from 1 species
CUCCUGUAGACUGAUUCCAAUUUAACUUAGCAAAGAACUGGAAUUGCCUGCUGGUACAGGAAACAGCAUUCCACUGCCACCUUAAAAUGGAUAUUUGGUGGUGUUGCAUUUUAUGCGACAGU